GACGAACGCUGGCGGCGUGCCUAACACAUGCAAGUCGUACGGGACCGGGGCAACUCCGGUUCAGUGGCAGACGGGUGCGUAACACGUGAGGAACUUGUCCGGUGGCGGGGGAUAGCCGGCCCAACGGCCGGGUAAUACCGCAUACGCUCGUUCGGGGGCAUCCCUGGGCGAGGAAAGCAGCCGCAAGGUUGCGCCGACGGAGGGCCUCGCGACCUAUCAGCUUGUUGGCGGGGUAACGCCCACCAAGGCACGACGGUAGCUGGUCUGAGAGGAUGAUCAGCCACAUUGGGACUGAGACACGGCCCAGACUCCUACGGGAGGCAGCAGUGGGGAAUAUUGCGCAAUGGCCGCAAGGCUGACGCAGCGACGCCGCGUGUGGGAUGACGGUCUUCGGAUUGU
rnacentral:rRNA from 1 species